CCUACGGGAGGCAGCAGUAGGGAAUCUUUCACAAUGGGCGAAAGCCUGAUGGAGCAACGCCGCGUGCAGGAUGAAGGCCUUCGGGUUGUAAACUGCUUUUAUAAGCGAGAAAUAUGAUGGUAACUUAUGAAUAAGGAUCGGCUAACUACGUGCCAGCAGCCGCGGUCAUACGUAGGAUCCGAGCAUUAUCCGGAGUGACUGGGUGUAAAGAGUUGCGUAGGUGGCAUAAUAAGUAGCUAGUGAAAUCUGGUGGCUCAACCAUUCAGACUAUUAGCUAAAUUGUUAAGCUCGAGACCGUUAGGGGUAACUGGAAUUACUAGUGUAGGAGUGAAAUCCGUAGAUAUUAGAAGGAACACCAAUAGCGUAGGCAGGUUGCUGGGACGGUUCUGACACUAAGGCACGAAAGCGUAGGGAGCAAACGGGAUUAGAUACCCUUGUAGUC
rnacentral:rRNA from 1 species